rnacentral:rRNA from 2 species
UGGCAGGCUUGAGUCUUGUAGAGGGGGGUAGAAUUCCAGGUGUAGCGGUGAAAUGCGUAGAGAUCUGGAGGAAUACCGGUGGCGAAGGCGGCCCCCUGGACAAAGACUGACGCUCAGGUGCGAAAGCGUGGGGAGCAAACAGGAUUAGAUACCCUGGUAGUCCACGCCGUAAACGAUGUCUACUUGGAGGUUGUGCCCUUGAGGCGUGGCUUCCGGAGCUAACGCGUUAAGUAGACCGCCUGGGGAGUACGGCCGCAAGGUUAAAACUCAAAUGAAUUGACGGGGGCCCGCACAAGCGGUGGAGCAUGUGGUUUAAUUCGAUGCAACGCGAAGAACC